rnacentral:rRNA from 1 species
UACAGAGGUCUCAAGCGUUGUUCGGAUUCAUUGGGCGUAAAGGGUGCGUAGGCGGCGCGGUAAGUCGGGUGUGAAAUCUCGGAGCUUAACUCCGAAACUGCAUUCGAUACUGCCGUGCUUGAGGACUGGAGAGGAGACUGGAAUUUACGGUGUAGCAGUGAAAUGCGUAGAUAUCGUAAGGAAGACCAGCGGCGAAGGCGGAUCUCUGGACAGUUACUGACACUGAGGCACGAAGGCCAGGGGAGCAAACGGG